rnacentral:rRNA from 1 species
GUCGCUCAACGGAUAAAAGGUACCCCGGGGAUAACAGGCUGAUCUUCCCCAAGAGUCCAUAUCGACGGGAUGGUUUGGCACCUCGAUGUCGGCUCGUCGCAUCCUGGGGCUGGAGUCGGUCCCAAGGGUUGGGCUGUUCGCCCAUUAAAGCGGUACGCGAGCUGGGUUUAGAACGUCGUGAGACAGUUCGGUCCCUAUCCGCUGCGCGCGCAGGAAUAUUGAGAAGGGCUGUCCCUAGUACGAGAGGACCGGGACGGACGAACCUCUGGUGUGCCAGUUGUCCUGCCAAGGGCAUGGCUGGUUGGCUACGUUCGGAAAGGAUAACCGCUGAAAGCAUCUAAGCGGGAAGCCUGCUUCGAGAUGAGUAUUCCCACCCCCUUUGAGGGGUUAAGGCUCCCAGUAGACGACUGGGUUGAUAGGCCAGAUGUGGAAGCCCGGUAACGGGUGGAGCUGACUGGUACUAAUAGGCCGAGGGCUUGUCCUCAGUUG